CCUACGGGAGGCAGCAGUGAGGAAUUUUCCGCAAUGGGCGAAAGCCUGACGGAGCAAUACCGCGUGGAGGAUGAAGGCCCGUGGGUCGUAAACUUCUUUUCUCAGAAAAGAAUUACUGACGGUAUCUGAGGAAUAAGCAUCGGCUAACUCUGUGCCAGCAGCCGCGGUAAU
rnacentral:rRNA from 1 species